ensembl:lncRNA
UGGGCAUCACAGAGGGCGCAACGGGCAUCACAGAGGGCGCAAAGGGCAACAAGGAGCGAGGAGGGUUGGAAGGUCAGCCUGACCCAGGCCGCGUCCCCCUGCUGGGCCCUGCCGGGUAGGAGAGCAGCCCCACGCGGGACGGCACCCAUCGGGGUCCAGCCAACAGGCCAGGCUGAGGCCCCUCGGCCCAGGCCGAGGCUGUGUCGGGAGCCCUCCCUGGGCGGGGGUCCGCGGGGAGCCUGGUGCCGAGCCUCUCGCUGCCGCAGCCCCGGAAGCAUGCACCCCUCCGCCCCGGCCCCCCAGAAGGGACGCAGGCUGGCACGGCACCCCAGAAUACGGAGUGGCUCUGACACGCACCGCUCAGCGCCUGCAGAAUCCCCACUCAGGAGCGGGGAGGCCCCUCGGAGGUGGGGAGGACCCCCUCUGGUUCUGGGGUUGAGACUGCAGGCAGGUCAGUCAUCAGAGCCCAGCCCUGGGGUGACGCAAGGAGGCAGGAGUCCCUGGAGCUUGAAGCCUGAGAUCCAUGCGAGAGGCAGUGACAGAGCUCCGAGGAAGAGACACAGAGAGAAGGGGUCUGGGGCCCUCACAUCUGUAUUCCAGCGGAGGAGGGAGGGGACGAUCCACACCCUUCCCCAGAGCGUGGCCCAGAAGCCAGACACUGCACCGUUAGCCAGAAGGUGAUCAUGCGGCCACGCCUGCCUGUUGAGAAGGCUGGGACACGGACCCACCAAGAAAUUCUGGGGAAAUACGAAAUAACGCCUUUUCCAGAACUGAAAAGGGAACAGCCCUGGAGGCCGUCAGCAGUCAUCAGAAGCACCCAGCUGGGAAAGGACCUCCGAGCCCUCCUCUGCCCUGACACUCCACCCUGAGGCCAGAGGCGGCUGUAGGCAGGCUUGACCCGGGAGGCCUUCUCUUCCCUCUGUCCGGGGCCCGUCAGGUGAGGGGGCCCUCCCGGCCUCUGCCUGAGGACACCCUGCGCCCCCAGCCUUGCCUCUGCGAUGCCCACAGCGGCCUGGCCCAGUCAGGCUCCCUGUCUGCGGUCCUGGAAGUCUGUGGACCUCGGGUGAACAGGCCCACUGUACCCCCAGGCCCUCAGCCCCAUGUGGGCAGGGGCUGUGUUCUGAGGAUAAGCAUGGAAAUGGAAACAGACAAUUGCAAAGCAGACGUUAACAGUGGCAUCCCGGCCAUACAAGCGUCCUAGGGGAGCACGCGCGCACCCACAGCCUAACUUCCAGAAGCCAGGUCUCCAGGCGGCAGGUGUGGCGACGCUCGGGCUCUUCAGGGGACUCGAAAGGUCCUGUGAGCACCUCAAGGAGGCCAGCAUCUCCUUGGAACGUUCCCCCGCCCCCCCCACCCCCACUCCAGAGCAGGCUCCCAGGGAGAGAGGGCUGCAGUGUGAGCAGAGCCUGGUGGGGAGACGGACAGAGAUCGAGACCGAGAGAGCGAUACGGCAAGGCGGGGGGCAGGGCCGUUGGCCUUCUGCUGCGCCUGAGCUGGGAGGCCUGCGUGACCCCCUGAACGGCUGCGCUCGGGCCUCGGGACCCCUCUGGUCCUCGUGGGGCUGACCGGCCUUUGGAGGUGCAGACAGGAUGGCGGGGCAGGAGGUGGGCCUGCUCCUGGGGGCAGCGAGGAGGAAGCCGUGCAGCUGGGCAUCCCUGCUGGGGACCAGGACUCACUGUAGGAGCAGCACCGUCACAGGCAUCCCCUGCAGUGCUUUUCUGCAGGGGUCUGACCGUGCGAGGCAGACGGCCUGAGCUGACGCCCGUCCUGCCCAGGCUCAGCCGCGUCCACCCCACCCGUCUUCCUGAACGAUUCCCAGCGUCCCAGGGUCUCACCUGCGAGCAUCCAGAUGGCCUUGCAUUUAGUGAACCCCCUCCCUCCGUCCGUGGACUCAAGCCUGAUGCUCUCUAGCUGCCCGAGACCACCCCCACCUCCCAGAGGAAGGUGCAGCCGCUGCG